GGAAACAAUCCUUACCCCGCGAGCCAAGACAGGCAGGGCUGUCCUGGGGAUCUCUUUGCCCUACAAGAGGGCUUCCUAAUACUGGGUGUGAGAGAAGAGGGCUUUCUCCUGGUGUGCCCAGGCCACUUCGGCCGGGAGAGGCCAGCGGAAGGCCAGACUUAAUGCUUUUACACGAACGAUCGUACCAGUCUUUUGCCAAAAGGAUGUUCUCUAUUUGGCGCAGUGUAAUUGUGUAUUUGAAAAUAUCAAGGGGGAGCAAACGGACCCAGCGUCAAGUGAACAGCUGCUGCUCCAUUGAGCUGAUUGUUCCAUUAUGAAAAUGGCUUGCAGGAUCUUACAGGAUCGAACCCAGACCCACAGGAGUGAAAGCGCUGAGUCUUAACCACUGGACUGCCAGGAAAUUCCCUUGUUUGACUUAAAUCAGGGUGAAAUUCAUGAAAGAAUAUAAGGAAACUGGGAGGUUUGACCCUGGAUAGGAACAGGAUGCUUCCACUGUGGAAAUUAGAGUAACAAGGGUGAAGAUGGAUGCAGAUGCAGGGGAGAGCUCUGAAUACAUGAGGAAGGAGAGUAGGAGACUGGUGAGAAGGUAAGGUUGGAAGAGGGCAAAAGGAAAGGAGGUGGGGUGGGGGGAUCCAGUGCCCACUGACCCAAUAAACUGUAUCCUGGACUA
ensembl:lncRNA